rnacentral:rRNA from 1 species
UGAAUACGAGAUGCUACGGCAUUGAAGCAGUCUAUGUCAGACUUCCGAGAAAAGCUUGCACUGUCAUAAGCAAAAAAUGCCUGUACCAUAACCAACACAGGUGGGUAGGUAGAGUAUACUAAGGGGCGCGAGAUAACUCUCUCUAAGGAACUCGGCAAAAUAACUCCGUAACUUCGGGAGAAGGAGUGCCUUAUUUCUUAAGGUUGCAAUAACAAGAUCCAAGCAACUGUUUAUCAAAAACACAGGUCUCCGCGAAGUCGUAAGACGAUGUAUGGGGCUGACGCCUGCCCUGUGCCAGAAGGUUAAAGAAGUUGGUUAGCCUUGCGAAGCUGAUGACUGAAGCCCUGGUGAACGGCGGCCGUAACUAUAACGGUCCUAAGGUAGCGAAAUUCCUUGUCGGGUAAGUUCCGACCCGCACGAAAGGCGUAAUGAUUUGGAUACUGUCUCGGAGAGGGGCUCGGUGAAAUAGACUUGUCUGUGAAGAUGCGGACUACCUGCACCUGGACAGAAAGACCCUAUGAAGCUUUACUGUAACUUGAGAUUGAAAUUGGACUUUAUUUGCGCAGUAUAGGUGGGAGACGUUGAGAAUAUUCUUGCGGGAAUAUUGGAGUCAUCAGUGAGAUACCACUCUUGUAAUGUUAGAUUUCUAACUUUGUAUCAUGAUCUGGUCAAAGGACAGUUUCAGGCGGGCAGUUUGACUGGGGCGGUCGCCUCCCAAACGGUAACGGAGGCGCACAAAGGUUUCCUCUGAACGUGUAGAAAUCGUAUCUAGAGUGUAAAGGCAUAAGGAAGCUUGACUGUGAGACCUACAAGUCGAGCAGGGACGAAAGUCGGUCUUAGUGAUCUGACGGUGCUGAGUGGAAAGGCCGUCACUCAACGGAUAAAAGUUACUCUAGGAUAACAGGCUGAUCUCCCCCAAGAGUUCACAUCGACGGGGAGGUUUGGCACCUCGAUGUCGGCUCAUCGCAUCCUGGGGCGGUAGUACGUCCCAAGGGUUGGGCUGUUCGCCCAUGAAAGCGGUACGCGAGCUGGGUUCAGAACGUCGUGAGACAGUCCGGUCCAUAUCCGGUGUAGGCGUUAGAAUAUUGAGAGGAGCCUUCUUUAGUACGAGAGGACCGAGAAGGACAUACCUCUGGUGUACCAGUUAUCGUGCCAACGGUAAACGCUGGGUAGCUAUGUAUGGAGAGGAUAACCGCUGAAAGCAUCUAAGUGGGAAGCCCACCUCAAGAUAAGUAUUCCC